UACGUAGGGGGCAAGCGUUGUCCGGAAUCAUUGGGCGUAAAGGGCGCGUAGGUGGCCCGGUCAGUUCGUGGUGAAAGCGCGGGGCUCAACCCUGCGUCGGCCAUGAAUACUGCCGCGGCUGGAGCACUGUAGAGGCAGGCGGAAUUCCGGGUGUAGCGGUGGAAUGCGUAGAGAUCCGGAAGAACACCGGUGGCGAAGGCGGCCUGCUGGGCAGUUGCUGACACUGAGGCGCGACAGCGUGGGGAGCAAACAGG
rnacentral:rRNA from 1 species